UCUACGGGAGGCAGCAGUGGGGAAUAUUGGGCAAUGGGCGCAAGCCUGACCCAGCAACGCCGCGUGAAGGAAGAAGGCCCUCGGGUUGUAAACUUCUUUUAUUCGGGACGAAACAAAUGCCGGUACCGAAUGAAUAAGCCACGGCUAACUCCGUCCCAGCAGCCGCAGUAAUCCGGAGGAUGCGAGCUUUAUCCGGAUUUAUUGGUUUUAAAGGGUGGGUAGGGGGUCCGUUAAGUCAGCGGUAAAAUUGCGGGGCUCAACCCUGUCGAGCCGUUGAAACUGGCAGACUUGAGUUGGCGAGAGGGACGGGGAAUGCGCGGUGUAGCGGUGAAAUGCAUAGAUAUUGCGCAGAACUCCGAUUGCGAAGGCAGCGUACCGGCGCCAGACUGACGCUGAGGCACGAAAGCGUGGGGAUCGAACAGGAUUAGAUACCCCUGUAGUC
rnacentral:rRNA from 1 species